UUUGACCUCAAGAUGAACAAAAAGGGUUUAACUGUCAUAAUGGAUGUCCAUCAUAAAAAGGCCCCAUAGCGCCCCCUUCAAAAUUUCAAAACGUAAACCCGCUCCUGCGGUCCAGACAAGUGGAUUCAAUGACACUUAUCUUGAACCCCAAGAGGAAAAGAAAUGGUUGCCAAUGUAAAAAUUGGGGACCCAUCAAAAAAUUCCUUCAUUUCUCCCUCUACAAAAUUUCAAAAUGUAAGUUCAGCUCCUGUGUUUGACCUAAACCGAGGGAUUCAAUGACACCUACGUUGGACUCAAAGUUAAACAAAAAGUUUUCCACUGUCAAAAUGGAUUUCCAACAAAAAUGUGGUCAUAGCGCCCUCUACAAAAAUUUCAGGACUCAGUGCUGUAUUUGAAGUCUGGUGUAUACCCUGUCAAUAGGAAUGGAGCCAGGACCGUCCGUUGUGGAACCCCUGUACUUCUCAAUAAGGCCCAGAAACACAGUUCCCCAGCGUGAAGAACUGUGUGAUUCCUGUCAGGCAAUUUGUGAUCCAGGAAACACAGGUAGGAUCCACGCCCAUCUCUGUGGGCUUGUCUUUGAGUAUGAUCGGUUGGAUGGUGUUGAACGUUAUGGUGACCUGUUGUUAUGAUGACCUGUCAGUUCAUUGACCUAUUGUUAUAAGUGGUAUCAUAAAAAAAUAAGACCAUCUUAAGAAGAGAGACUGAUUUUUAUUAGAAAACAUAACCUGAAACUGGAUAUCUCUUGCAGGGUUUUAUAGUCUUGAAUAUGUAAAGGAUUCGUAAUAUCAUUGACUUUGAAACCAUUUAAGUUUUUUUUGUAGGAUCAGAUUAACAAAAAACAACUGGCACUCUCAUGAUCACUUCUAAUUGUACAGGAAAAAGUGAAAUAUUGCAAAAAGUAUAAAUGGUAGAAAGGUGAAAAGUUCACCCCACUAGAUGGUGCUGUCAUACCAUAAUCAAAAAUUACUAUGGUUACAUUCUGACUGUAAACUUCUUUUGAGUACUUCCACAUUCCACGGGGAGGUUGUAAUACAUACAUUUUUAGGCAUUUGUCUAUCCGAAGCACCUCGACUGAUCAUUUUUCCUUGUAAUGCACAUAAGACAUACAAUUUUAGCAAUUUUUUUUAUUUUUACCUUCAUCCAAGUAUUUUAGCUUCAGCUCUGUAAUAUUUUCUACAUUUUUAUGUGGGGAAGUCACUGAAGCACACCACUAGAUGGUGCUGUUUUUCCAUUAUUACAAAUGAGUCUCAUCACCCUGUGAUGAAGAAAAUGUCAAGAUGGAGAACCAACCAUCAAUGGUCACAUAUUGCCCCCUACCCAAUUGAAAAAUAAAAGCCCUUUUUCUGUGUACGAACCAAACUUUUGAAAUAAAGAACAAUUAUGACAAACCGAAAGUUGAACAUACAGGGCUCCAGCAUCAAAAUGGAGAAUCAACUUCAAAUAGCUCCAGAGUGCCAGCUUCAAAUUAAAAAAAAAAAAGUAAGCCCCACUCCUGUGUUUGACCAAAACCUUUGGAAUUGAUGUCACUUAUGUUUGACCUCAAGACAAAGAAAAAUGGGUUCAAUGUCAAAAUUGAGGUCCUUCAAGAAAUAACUACAUAGCACCCCCUUCAUAAUUUCAAAAUGAAACCCCUGCUUCUUUGAGUGACUCAGACCAAUGGACUAACAGACACUUAUCUUGGAUCCAACUGAAAAUGGCACGACUGCGUUCUCUACAACAUUUCUAAAUGAAAGCCCUGCUCUGGUGCGCGUCCAAAACCUGUGGAAUUAGUGACACUGAAGUUGAACCUUAACACGAACAAAAACAGUUUGAAUAUCAAAAUGGAGAUCCAUCAAAACAUGGCUCUAUGGCGCCACCUUCAAAUUUCUUCAGUGUGAACCACGCUCCUGUGUUUGACCGAAACCUAUGAAAUUGAUGACACUUAUGUUUGACCUCAAGAUGAACAAAAAGGGUUUAACUGUCAUAAUGGAUGUCCAUCAUAAAAAGGCCCCAUAGCGCCCCCUUCAAAAUUUCAAAACGUAAACCCGCUCCUGCGGUCCAGACAAGUGGAUUCAAUGACACUUAUCUUGAACCCCAAGAGGAAAAGAAAUGGGUGCCAAUGUAAAAAUUGGGGACCCAUCAAAAAAUUCCUUCAUUUCUCCCUCUACAAAAUUUCAAAAUGUAAGUUCAGCUCCUGUGUUUGACCUAAACCGAGGGAUUCAAUGACACCUACGUUGGACUCAAAGUUAAACAAAAAGUUUUCCACUGUCAAAAUGGAUUUCCAACAAAAAUGUGGUCAUAGCGCCCUCUACAAAAAUUUCAGGACUCAGUGCUGUAUUUGAAGUCUGGUGUAUACCCUGUCAAUAGGAAUGGAGCCAGGACCGUCCGUUGUGGAACCCCUGUACUUCUCAAUAAGGCCCAGAAACACAGUUCCCCAGCGUGAAGAACUGUGUGAUUCCUGUCAGGCAAUUUGUGAUCCAGGAAACACAGGUAGGAUCCACGCCCAUCUCUGUGGGCUUGUCUUUUAGUAUGAUCGGUUGGAUGGUGUUGAACGUUAUGGUGACCUGUUGUUAUGAUGACCUGUCAGUUCAUUGACCUAUUGUUAUAAGUGGUAUCAUAAAAAAAUAAGACCAUCUUAAGAAGAGAGACUGAUUUUUAUUAGAAAACAUAACCUGAAACUGGAUAUCUCUUGCAGGGUUUUAUAGUCUUGAAUAUGUAAAGGAUUCGUAAUAUCAUUGACUUUGAAACCAUUUAAGUUUUUUUUGUAGGAUCAGAUUAACAAAAAACAAUUGGCACUCUCAUGAUCACUUCUAAUUGUACAGGAAAAAGUGAAAUAUUGCAAAAAGUAUAAAUGGUAGAAAGGUGAAAAGUUCACCCCACUAGAUGGUGCUGUCAUACCAUAAUCAAAAAUUACUAUGGUUACAUUCUGACUGUAAACUUCUUUUGAGUACUUCCACAUUCCACGGGGAGGUUGUAAUACAUACAUUUUUAGGCAUUUGUCUAUCCGAAGCACCUCGACUGAUCAUUUUUCCUUGUAAUGCACAUAAGACAUACAAUUUUAGCAAUCUUUUUUUAUUUUUACCUUCAUCCAAGUAUUUUAGCUUCAGCUCUGUAAUAUUUUCUACAUUUUUAUGUGGGGAAGUCACUGAAGCACACCACUAGAUGGUGCUGUUUUUCCAUUAUUACAAAUGAGUCUCAUCACCCUGUGAUGAAGAAAAUGUCAAGAUGGAGAACCAACCAUCAAUGGUCACAUAUUGCCCCCUACCCAAUUGAAAAAUAAAAGCCCUUUUUCUGUGUACGAACCAAACUUUUGAAAUAAAGAACAAUUAUGACAAACCGAAAGUUGAACAUACAGGGCUCCAGCAUCAAAAUGGAGAAUCAACUUCAAAUAGCUCCAGAGUGCCACCUUCAAAUUUAAAAAAAAAAAAAUUAAGCCCAACUCCUGUGUUUGACCAAAACCUUUGGAAUUUAUGUCACUUAUGUUUGACCUCAAGACAAAGAAAAAUGGGUUCAAUGUCAAAAAUGUAGUCUCUUUAAGAAAUAGCUACAUAGCACCCCUUUCAUAAUUUCAAAAUGAAACCCCUGCUCCUUUGAGUGACUCAGACCAAUGGACUAACAGACACUUAUCUUGGAUCCAACUGAAAAUGGCACGACUGCGUUCUCUACAACAUUUCUAAAUGAAAGCCCUGCUCUGGUGCGCGUCCAAAACCUGUGGAAUUAGUGACACUGAAGUUGAACCUUUACACGAACAAAAACAGUUUAAAUAUCAAAAUGGAGAUCCAUCAAAACAUUGGCUCUAUGGCGCCACCUUCAAAUUUCUUCAAUGUGAACCACGCUCCUGUGUUUGACCUAAACCUAUGAAAUUGAUGACACUUAUGUUUGACCUUGAGACGAACAAAAAGGGUUUAACUGUCAUAAUGGAUAUCCAUCAUAAAAAGGCCCCAUAGCGCCCCCUUCAAAAUUUCAAAACUUAAACCCCGCUCCUGUGGUCCAGACAAGUGGAUUCAAUGACACUUGUCUUGAACGCCAAGAGGAAAAGAAAUGGGUGCCAAUGUAAAAAUUGGGGACCCAUCAAAAAAUUCCUUCAUUUCUCCCUCUACAAAAUUUCAAAAUGUAAGUUCAGCUCCUGUGUUUGACCUAAACCGAGGGAUUCAAUGACACCUAUGUUGGACUCAAAGUUAAACAAAAAGUUUUCCACUGUCAAAAUGGAUUUCCAUAAAAAUGUGGUCAUAGCGCCCUCUAAAAAAAUUUCAGGACACAGUGCUGUAUUUGAAGUCUGGUGUAUACCCUGUCAAUAGGAAUGGAGCCAGGACCGUCCGUUGUGGAACCCCUGUACUUCCCAAUAAGGCCCAGAAACACAGUUCCCCAGCAUGAAGAACUGUGUGAUUCCUGUCAGGCAAUUUGUGAUCCAGGAAACACAGGUAGGAUCCACGCCCAUCUCUGUGGGUUUGUCUUUGAGUAUGAUCGGUUGGAUGGUGUUGAAUGUUAUGGUGACCUGUUGUUAUGAUGACCUGUCAGUUCAUUGACCUAUUGUUAUAAGUGGUAUCAUGAAAAUAAGACCAUCUUAAGAAGAGAGACUGAUUUUUAUUCAAAAACAUAACCUGAAACUGGAUAUCUCUUGCAGGGUUUUAUAGUCUUGAAUUUGUAAAGGAUUAGUAAUAUCAUUGACUUUGAUGCCUUUGAAGUUUUUUUUGUAGGAUCAGAUUUCCAAAAAAUAUUCUUUGUUAACGCUCAGUUGCUAAAAAAAGCCACUGACAUCGACUGCUGUAAAAACAUAUUGGAUUCAUAUUUUUUCCAGAUUUUUUUUCACACAUCUCUCAAAUAACUUCUGCCCUGAUCAAAAAUAGUACAUUUUUUAUCCAAAAAACAAGUUUUAAGCCUUUGAGAGUCCAUUCAAAACAUAACGCCUAAUGCCUAAACAAAACUAUGGCCCCGCUCCAUGUGUGAAUACUGAAAAGAUGUUUGCAGUCAGCAGUAUGAAACCGUAGUGAUUUGUAAUAGUGGAAAAAGAGCACCAUCUAGUGGUGUGCUUCUGUCACUGCCCUACAUAAAAAAGAUGUUUGCAGUCGGCACAUCAUCAUAGAAAUAUUUGAUUAUGGUAUGACAGCCAAAUCUAGUGGUGAGCUUUAGUUGCUGCCCUACAUGUUAAUAUAAAGAGUGUUACAGAGCUGUAGCUAAAAAAGCUGUAUAAAUGCAAAAUUAUUAAAGUUGCUAAAUAGAUGGUAUUAAUCUCAAAAGUAUUAAGAGCAGAAGUUUAAAAACUUGUAUGAAUGUAAAAAAUGCUCACGUGAAGACAAAGUUGUAAGACUUGUCAAUAUUUGUCAAUAUAGAAAUUGUUACAGAGCUGUGGUAUAAAAAAGGCAUAUGAAUGUAAAAUUAUGAAAGUAUGAAGAAGUGGUAUUAAUCUUAAAAGUAUAGAGAGCAGAAUUUUAAAUACUUUUAUGAAUGUAAAAAAUGCUCAAGUGAAGAAAAAGUUGUAAGACUUUUGUGAAUAAAAAUAAAUAAAGCUCAGUCUAGGUGCUUUGGAACGACAAGUGCCUAGAGAUUUAUAUAUUACAAACUCCCCAUGAAAUGUUGAAAUAUUCAAAAGAGGUUUGCAGUCAGCAGCAUGUAACCAUAGUCACUGGUAGCGGCACAACACUACCCUAUAGUGUGCUUCAGUUACUAACUUACCAAGCUGAAGCGCACCGCAAGAUGGAGUAGUGCGUGUGGACAGGGUGUGAAGGAAAUCGACAAGCACACAACACAUGAGAAGUGCUCCACCAUGGGUGAAGUGGAUGCCGUCUGAACUUCUUUACCUGGCACAGUUUUUCUAAGUGGUAUCAUGAAAAUAAGACCAUCUUAAGAAUUCUGGCACUCUCAUGAUCAUUUCUAAAUGUACAGAAAAAGUGAAAUAUUGCAAAAAGUAUAAAUGGUAGAAAGGUGAAAAGUACACACCACUAGAUGGUGCUGUCAUACCAUAAUCAAAAAUUACUAUGGUUACUGUCAGAAUAAUGUGUAUAAAUAUAUAUAGAAGUUAUCAUCUUACUCAAAUUCUUAUGUAAGAGUUUGCUAUAAGUAUGAACUGUUUUAACCUCUUGUUACACAUCAUACACUGUGUGCAGAAUUAUUAGGCAAGUUGUAUUUUUGAGGAUAAACUUUAUUUUUCAACAACUGCAGUGCUCUUGGUCAAUCCAAAAUUUUAAUUAACCUCAAACCUGAAUAUUUAAGGGAGUAAAAGUGAGAUUUUGGCUUCCUUAGGAGAAUAUCUAUGUGUGCACACUUAUUGGGGGCAGCUAUUAGUGUGCAGAAUUAUUAUGCAACUAAAUUGAAAAUGAAAAAUUUUCCAUCUCAUUUGUUUAUUUUCACUGGUUAAAGUGAGAAUGAUAAACAAACAUCUCAAUUUACAAAUAAAAAUUGAAAUAAAAAUAAAAAAUCUGUGACUAAUGUUACUACCCUUCUUCUCAAUAACAGUCAUAAGCCUUCCAUUUAUGGAGUCUUUCAGUUUCUUGAUCUGUUGACGAUCAACUUUUUGUGUUGCAGUAACCAAAGCCUUCCAGACACUGUUCCAGACACUGUUCAGAGAGGUGUACUGUCUUCCUUCACUGAAAAUUUCCCGUUUAAGAAGGGCUCACAAGUUCUCAACAGGGUUUAGGUCAGGUGAAGAAGGAGGCCAUGUCAUUAUUCUUUUGUUUUUAAGGCCUUUACUGGCGAGCCAUAUAGUGGAGUACUUCAUUGCAUGCAAUGGAGCAUUGUCCUGCAUAAAAAUCAUAUGGUUUUCUUGAAAGAUGCAGACUUUUGCCUGUACCACUGCUUGAAGAAAGUGUCUUCUCAAAACUGGCAUUGGAUUUGGGAGUUGAUUUUAAGUCCAUCUUCAUCUCGAAAAGGUCCAGCUAGCUCAUCUUUAAUAAUACCAGCCCAUACCAGUACCCAGCCUCCACCUUGCUGGUGUCUGAUUCGAAGUGGAGCCCUGUGCCCAUUACUGAUCCAGCCACGGGUCCAUCCAUCUGGUCCAUCAAGAGUCACUCUCAUCCCAUCAGUCCAUAAAACCUUUGAAAAGUCUCUCUUCAGAUAUUUCUUGGCCCAGUCUUGACGUUUCGACUUGUGUCUUGUUCAGUGGUGGUCAGAUUUCAGCCUUCCUUACCUUGGCCAUGUCUCUGAGCACUGAACACCUUGUACUUCUGGGCACUCCAGGUAGGUUGCAGUUCUGGAAUAUGACAGCACUGGAGGAUAUUGGGUUCCUGGUAGCUUUACGUUUGAGUCUUCUCAAAUCUUUGGCAGUUAAUUCGCGUCUUUUUUUCUUAACACAUUUCUUGCGACCCUGUUGACUAUUUGCAUCAAAAUGUUUGAUGGUUCUGUGAUCACGCCCAAAUAUCUAAGAAAUUUCAAGAGUGCUGCAUCCCUCUGAAAGACUUUUUACAUUUUUUGACUUUUCAGAGUCACUUAAAUCUCUUUUUUGGCCCAUUUUACCUGAGGAAAAGAAGCUGCCUAAUAAUUAUGCACACCUUGAUAUAGGGUUUUGAUCUCCUUAGGCCCCAGCCUCCCUCAAUACACAUUACCUGAUAUGCUUAUAUCCAAUAAGCAUUCAAGUUUAUACAGCUUAGAGUUGGAAAAUAUGCAUAAAAAUGAUGAUAUGAUCAAAAUACUCACUUGCCUAAUAAUUGUGCACACAGUGUUUUCUAACUUCUCUCUCCAAUAGCUUUAUUACACAGCACAAAAAUGUUUCUUAUCUUCUCUGUGACCUUGUUUCUCCUAUUAGCAGGUGUGUGUGUGAUGUAUCCUCCACUGUGAAUCGUGGGAAGUAAUGAGGAGGAUCCGCUCCUAUCAGAAGGAGCUUGUUUAAUGUCAACAGUGUUGCCUUGACCCUCACAUAUGUUCUGUUGUUCAUAAUUAUGUUUUAUGAGAAUGCUAACAUUGGUGCACAUAUUUUUCCCCCAUCCUUUAGUACCAUUGUGUAACCAGGGACAACCCUAAAUAAAGAGACUGUGGUGCUGUUGGUGCUGUUAUUCCAUUAUUGCAAAUGAAUCUCAUCACCCUGUGAUGAAGAAAAUGAAAAUAAGACCAUCUUAAGAAUUCUGGCACUUUCAUGAUCAUUUCUAAUUGUACAGAAAAAGUGAAAUAUUGCAAAGAGUAUAAAUGGUAGAAAGGUGAAAAGUAAUACUUAUCAUGUCCUUAGGGAGUGCAUUACUAUCAAGUGUGAAUGGUUAAAAUAGCACAAAGUGGGAAGGAGAGAAAAAGUAACAAAUAUUGGUGUUAGAAGAAAAAACGGCCGACAGGAUUAUCAAUUACAACUUGAAAAACUGCGUUUCCUUGCAGAAAAUGCAUGGAAAUGCUGAAUGAUGAAACAGCCAUGCAGAACUGCUACGAAAGAAGAAAAGUAUAAAUGUUAAAUGUCUUGAAGAGGUGGAGAACAAGAAGAAAUUAUGUAGAAAUUUUAGCAUAGCUGCAGUUAAACAUACAUGAAGUUGUAGAAAAGCAGCAGUUGGAGAAGUGUUUUACAUGCUGACAUUUUCAAUAACCUUAAAAAAAAAAUUGUAUGAGUGUUGUCAAUAAACAGAGAUUAGGAUUAGUUAACCCUUGUGUAACCGUUAGAUUUACAUCAGUUGUUAACGCUCAGUGGCUAAAAGAAGCCACUGACAUUGACUGCUGUAAUAACAUAUUGGGUUCAUAUGUUUUCCAGAUUUUUUUUCACACAUCUCUCAAUUAAUUUCUGCCCUGAUCAAAAAUAGUAAAUUUUUUACCUAAAAACAAUUUUUUGAGCCUUUGAGAGUCCAUUCAAAACAUAACGCCACUGCUAUGGUACAAAAAUACACAAAAAUGACUCACUUAACUUCAAUCUCGCCAAAACAAACUAUGACCAUAGCCAACACAUCAAAACAACACUUAAACAACAGCUAAUCACAAGGGGUAACCAACUCAACAGAUGCAUGCCAAAACACAUAAUCACAAACCUUCAAUCUUGCCUAAACGAACAAAAACAACAGCUUAACACAAGGGGUAACCAGUUCAACAGAUAAACAUAUCGGGCUCUAUUUUGGUGCCUCGCCGGAGACGUGCCGCAAGUUCAGCGUCAGUCAGAUCCGCCGCGCUGACAAGGCGUUCCCAAGCACAUUUUGGUAUUUUGGUGAGCCGCGCUGCCCGGCGUAAGUAUCCCCCCUCCCUAACUCAGCUCCUCCCAGCAGCAUAAGUCGUAGACGGGGAGGAGAAAGGGCGUGGAGUGGAUUUAACACAGCCGAGACCUGUUUUCACCAAUCACAUAAGCUCCUCUCCUUGCCUUUAAAUCCGCCACAGGCGAGGCGUAUUACUAUUUUCAUGAAGUAGUCAAAGAGAUCAAGAGAUGUCUUAAGACAGUAAUGCCACAAGAUGACGACAGAGGGCAGCUCCUCAACAAGUGUCCUCCACACUCUCUCAUCUGAGCACAGAUGGAUUUGGUGUGUGUAAUGUUGGACCCACUGGUAAGACAAACACCCUUUUCCACAAAUAAAGACACUCACAUAAAGUUGCAUAUAUUCAAACCUCACGUGACAAAGGUGGGUUGAGCGCACAGAUCACAACAUAAACUCCAAAAAUGGCAUUAAAAAUGGAACCAUCUGUGCGUAAAUGACGCAUCGCGCUCCGUGACCUGGCUCUUUCUUUCAUAGAUGUUGGCAUAUAAAAUAAAUUUGCCUCACAAAACUGAAUAUUAUAAUAUCCGCAUGUAGGCUUAAAGUAGAUAACACAUCUGAGCACUGAAACAAAUCAUCUGUUCAGCCGCAGCAGCAGCAAGAAGGACAGAGGACACAGAGACGUGUCCAGGUCCAGCUGUGUGAGAAAUAAGAGGAAGAGGAAGAUAGAAAAGGAGGGAGACAAAUUACAUAUCUUGUUAACUUCAUCAUGUGUGUUUAUUUACUAGAUAUUUAAUUUAAUUUGAUGCGGUUUCAGCUGUGUUGAUUCGGUCAGGUUGUGUGUCCAAACGCGUGCCAAACGCACUCAUCAGAUCACAUAUAGAUCAGAAUAUAUCAAUAUAGAUCUAUGUGCUGACUCAGAUUAAUAGUUGAUGAUGAUUAUUUAUUGCAGGGCAUCAGUGACGUAUGUCGAUACGCCGCCGGUCUACCAAAAUACUACUAGACCAGCUGCGCUCCGCCAUGCGCUGAAAGCUGACCAGGUUUGAAUCGGCGAGCUUUCAGCGCACUUUACACGCCGGUGGCGAGCACGAAAAUGUCACUGCGCCUGCUGAUUCUGUCGACACCUCCCCCUGCCACGCCACCACGCCCAGCUUGGCGGAUCUCGGCUCGCCUCCGUGAGGCUCAGUCUACAAAAAUACCAAACUGGACUUACGCCAGGCUCCGCCAGACGAAAAUACAACUGCGCGGGGCUCGCCGCCCUCCGCCGCCUCACCGGCGCGCACGAAAAUAGAGCCCAUCAACUGCAUGCAGGAACACUAGCUCACUUAACUUCAAUCUCGCCAAAACAAACUAUGAUCAUAACAAGCCAACACAUCAAAACAACUUUUAAAUAACAGCUACACAGAAGGGGUAACCAACUCAACAGAUGCAUGUGUUAGGCAGAGAGAGACACUUUCAGAAAGUACGGGAGAAGGAGCAUCCCGUUUUAGUUCAUUACGCGACAUGUCUUUUUGUUUUCAGAUACGGUAUGAUCCCGUUUUUUACGGUACGGUUGGGAACCCUAGAGCACCCAUUCCUGGCUUUUGUCAAGUUCUUCGAACAUGUUUUUGUAGAGUUUGUUUACAUUAAAGGGGAUGUAUUUCCUCAUGUCAACAAAAUUACCGUUAUUGUUAAAAAGGAACUUAACUUAAUUUUCAGAAGUAUAUUUCUGCAUUCCUGUCAUGUUGCUGAUUCCAUCUGUUUCUGAGUAUAAUGGUGGACCUCACAAUGAGCCUUACUCAUAACCUGCUGUACCAACAGAAAAAGGAUAACAAUCCUGAACAAUGCUGAGAAUGUUGUCUCAGUCCAUUGUUGUUGAUCGUAUCUAAUGAUUGUUUUUUCGUUUUUAAUUAUUUAUUAAUGUGGUGUAUUUAUUAAACUAUGUAUUUAUUUAUUUAUCUAUCUAUUUAUUAAUUUAUUCGAAUCAAGAUAUUCAAAAUAAAAGCUAUAUGUAAAAAUAACAAAAUAAAUGAAUGGUUUUAAAUUUUUUUAUGCUUUUUGUGUUAGGUUCGGGGAUAUAGGGGUUUGAGCCACUUUUGACAUGGCGGUUCAUUGCCUUUACCAAGGUCGAACCAUCCUGAGAUUUUGUGGAUUGGUGUCACGGUACUGGAGGCGACCACCCCUCCUCCUGUAUUGCACCUCAGUCCAUUGAUCGUAGGCCAUGACUGUUUUUAUCCUUUUUAAUUAUUUAUUACUAUUUAUUGUAUAUUGUGUAUUUCUCAAACUAUUUAUUCAUUUAUUUGUGUAUCUAUCUAUUUAUAAUGUAUUCAAAUCAAGGUAUUCAAAACAAAAGCUGUAUAUGAAAAUAACAAAAUAAAUGAAAUGUUCUUUAUUUUUUUAUGCUUUUUUUUCUAAAAUAAAAAUGAAAUAAAAUGAAAUAAAAGUAAAAUAACAAAAUAAAAUGUCUAUUAAAAUGAAGAAUUGAAGAAAAGGUGUGGGGGAAAAGUGCCCAGUUGCGCAACGUUUCGACCGCUGUGGGUCUUCUUCAGGCUCUGGGCACUGUGAGAAAUAUGUCUGGGCUUGUUGAUUCAGGGUGUGAGAUGUUCUCCCUUCAGCAGACUCAGCCAGAAUGAGAGGAGCCAAGGUUUGUGUGUGUGUUCUAUUUAUAGAGGCGGGGAGAGCAAAGAAUGCAGAAUGCAGCUGCACUCUGAUGAGUCAUGGAGAGGCUCCGGCAGUCUGUGUGUGUAUGAACCACUAAAUGCCUACUGAAUUUAAAUGAAAUGAAUGUUGAUGGUCAAUUGUAAUGUUGAAGCUGAUUAAUGAAUUGUACUUUUAAUGCCCAAUUAGAAUUUUUUUACCCUCUUUUUAACUGAUUAAAUUUAAUUAAUUGUAAUUUUAAUGCCCAAUUUUAACUUUUAUAUUUUAAAUCCAUAAUUGUCAAUUAGAAUUGUAAUGCGUUUGAAUUUUAAAGAUAGUUUUAUUUUAGCCCUUAAUUCCCUUUUUAGAUUUUAGAUUAGAUAUACAUUUGUAAUACUUUUGGUUUUAAUGUGAAAUUAUUACUAUUUUUAGCCUGCUAUGAAAUUUAAUAAUUAAAAAUGAAUUCAAAUGAAUUAAUUAAAAUAAAUUAUUAGUUUUUUAAAGGUUAGGGUUAGGGGUCAGGGCAAGGGUCAGAGAGGUUAGGGUUAGGGUUAGGGUUAGGGUUAGAGGGGUUAGGGCUAGGGUUAGAUGGUUAGGGUUAGGGUCAGAGAGGUUAGGGUUAGGGUUAGGGUUAGGGUUAGGGUUAGAGGGGUUAGGGCUAGGGUUAGAUGGUUAGGGUUAGGGUUAGAUACCUAGUUAGGUGUUAGUUUAGGGCUAGGGAUUAGGGGUUAGUGGUUAGGGUUUGGUGGUUAGAGUUAGGGUUAGGGUUAAGGUUAGGGGGUUAGGGUUAGGGAUUAGGGUUAGGGGGUUCGGGUUAGGCUUAGGGGUUAGGGAAAGGGUGAGGGAUUAGGGUUAUGGUUGGGGUAGGGUGAGGGGUAGGGUUAGGGGUUAGGGUUAGUUGUUAUGAUCAUAGUUUGUUUUGGCGAGAUUGAAGGUAUAUGAGCAUGUUUUAUGGCACACAUCUGUUGAGUUGUUGUUUAAGUGUUGUUUUGAUGUGUUGGCUUGUUGUUUUGAUAGUAUUUUUGGGAAUUGAAAUUAAGUGAGCUAGUGUUAUCACAUGCAGUUGAUAUGUUUAUCUGUUGAACUGGUUACCCCUUGUUUUUAGCCGUUGUUUAAGUGUUCUUUUGAUGUGUUGGCUUGUUGUUAUGAUCAUAGUUUGUUUUGGCGAGUUUGAAGGUUUGUGAGUAUGUGUUAUGGCAUGCAUCUGUUGAGUUGGUUAUCCCUUCUGUUUAACUGUUGUUAAAGUGUUGUUUAGAUGUGUUGG